AAGUGUACUUUGUUGUCAAUGUAUUUUAAAUUGUAUAGAAGUUUAUUUUUUUUAAGUAUAUUAAAUUUGACAUACUUAGAGUGACAAUUCAAUAUACUUAUGGGAAGUAUAUUUUUUGGAAAUUAAUUGUUAAUUUACUUUUUUAGCAUACUAGGAUCUCACUUCAUUAGAAGUGUGACUUCUGUACACUUUAUACAGUACACUAUAAAAUAAGUGUAUUUUUAGUUGCAUAUCAGAGUACUUUCAUAAAAUACGUUAGAAUAAUAAAAUGUAGGCUAUACACUGCAUGAAAAGAGCUGUAUCCAGACAAAUACGGAUGGGAAAUCCCUGCUAAACUUAAGGUUUGCCAGAUAAAUGAGGCAGAGUGCUUGGAAACGUAAUACUCAGAAGUAAACUCGUGAAACAUCCAGAAACCUUGUGUAUAUGGAUGUAUACUGGUGGAAGUUUCUAGGAAUCCUCACAGCUGGUUGUAAGGAGUGCUGGUUGUGAGGUGUGAAGGGUUAAUGACAGAGUUGCUGUCUCUGUUUUCAAAGCUGGGUGGGGGGUUCAAGGCAGCACAUAACAUAAAAACAUUAUAUAUCUACAAGUGUGUUUACUAAAUACAUGUAUUAUUAUGCUAAUGUAAUUUAAUUGAUAAAGGUUUUUUUAUUUAAGAAAAUCUGAGCAUCACUCAAAAUAACUGUCAACAUGUUUGUCAACUAAACAUGUUUUGUAAACGUUAUACAUUUUAUAAAAAUAUUUAAUAUUUUUAUUAUUGAUAAAGUAUAAAGAACAAAUCAGUGUGAAAACGCAGAUUAUAAAAAGUACAUAAAGUGCCAGCAGAGGAUCCAAAAUAAUGAAAAAAAAAAAAACAUCCAAUGCAACUUGGAAAUUGUAGUCAAAAUACAUCUACAGCAGCAUGCUAAAGCAGUACCAACGCCAGGGCAAAAGACUCAAAUUCCCAGAAUGCACCUGCACCCACCCAUUCAUUCCCACCAAUCAGGAUCAACGGCAUUUUUCAAACCGCUACUGACUCGUUUUCAUGCUAAACAGUACGGCUGAGAGGUCAUGUACCAUGUGGUCGACCUUGCUGACGCUGAAGAGGUUUCUGUGUAAAAAUGAUGACAUUGAGACAAACAGACCAGUUCUGGCUGCCGUGGAGGUCAACACACCACUGAUCUACUGGCUGCCCUUCAACGUGAUGCCCAGCCGAUGCCUGACCACCGACGGAACUAGGGCUGCACGAUAAGUCGCAUGUGUUUGUCAGGCGCAUCUCCUCAGUAAUGCCGGUUCCUUGAUUAGUAUUAAAUCGCCAUCAGCUGUUUUCAGAUGUAGCAGCUUUAACUACACAGAGCCGUAGUUCACUGACAAUCGGGGCAAUUUCGCAUUAAUUAUCGCGGACGUAUCGGCUGCGAUAUGUAUGCGAUAUGGCCCAGCUUGUCAGGGAACUACGGCUCUGUAGUUAAAGCUGCUCCAU